rnacentral:rRNA from 1 species
UACGAAGGGGGCUAGCGUUGUUCGGAAUCACUGGGCGUAAAGGGCGCGUAGGUGGCGGGACAAGCGUGCGGUGAAAGCCUGGGGCUCAACCCCGGGUCGGCCGUGCGAACUGUUUUGCUUGAGCACUGUAGAGGCAGGCGGAAUUCCGGGUGUAGCGGUGGAAUGCGUAGAGAUCCGGAAGAACACCGGUGGCGAAGGCGGCCUGCUGGGCAGUAGCUGACACUGAGGCGCGACAGCGUGGGGAGCAAACAGG